UGGGGAAUUUUGGACAAUGGGGGAAACCCUGAUCCAGCCAUGCCGCGUGUAUGAAGAAGGCCUUAGGGUUGUAAAGUACUUUUGUUAGGGAAGAAAAGCUAGUUUUUAAUAAAAAUUAGUGAUGACGGUACCUAAAGAAUAAGCACCGGCUAACUACGUGCCAGCAGCCGCGGUAAUACGUAGGGUGCAAGCGUUAAUCGGAAUUAUUGGGCGUAAAGCGAGUGCAGACGGUUACUUAAGCCAGAUGUGAAAUCCCCAAGCUUAACUUGGGACGUGCAUUUGGAACUGGGUGACUAGAGUGUGUCAGAGGGAGGUAGAAUUCCACAUGUAGCGGUGGAAUGCGUAGAGAUGUGGAGGAAUACCGAUGGCGAAGGCAGCCUCCUGGGAUAACACUGACGUUGAGGCUCGAAAGCGUGGGGAGCAAACAGGAUUAGAUACCCUGGUAGUCCGCGCCCUAAACGAUGACAAUUAGCUGUUGGGCUUUGAAAGGCUUAGUAGCGAAGCUAACGCGAGAAAUUGUCCGCCUGGGGAGUACGGUCGCAAGAUUA
rnacentral:rRNA from 1 species